UACUACUUGGGCAAUCUGCCCUCAAGAGGGAGACAACCUGCCGAAAGGCGGGCUAAUAUCCCGUAAGACCACAGGAUGACAUCAUCCAGAGGUUAAAGCUCCGCAAGGGGCGCUAGAGGAGGAGCCCGAGGCCUAUCAUGGUAGUUGGUGGGGUAACGGCCCACCAAGCCUUUGACGGGUAGCCGGCCUGAAAGGGUGAUCGGCCACACUGGCACUGAGACACGGGCCAG
rnacentral:rRNA from 1 species